CAGCAGCCACGGGAAUACGAAGGGUGCAAGCGUUAAUCGGAAUUACUGGGCGUAAAGCGUGCGUAGGCGGUUUGUUAAAUCUGCUGUGAAAUCCCCGGGCUCAACCUGGGAAUGGCAGUGGAUACUGGCAAGCUAGAGUGUGUCAGAGGAUGGUGGAAUUCCCGGUGUAGCGGUGAAAUGCGUAGAGAUCGGGAGGAACAUCAGUGGCGAAGGCGGCCAUCUGGGACAACACUGACGCUGAGGCACGAAAGCGUGGGGAGCAAACAGGAUUAGAUACCCCCGUAGUCCCUGUCUCUUAUAC
rnacentral:rRNA from 1 species